GCCAGUUUCGGUGGAGCCGUCCUUGAAAUACCACCCUGGUUUGUUUGAGGUUCUAACCUUGGCCCGUGAUCCGGGUCGGGGACAGUGCAUGGUAGGCAGUUUGACUGGGGCGGUCUCCUCCCAAAGCGUAACGGAGGAGUACGAAGGUACGCUAGGUACGGUCGGAAAUCGUGCUGAUAGUGCAAUGGCAUAAGCGUGCUUAACUGCGAGACCGACAAGUCGAGCAGGUGCGAAAGCAGGUCAUAGUGAUCCGGUGGUUCUGUAUGGAAGGGCCAUCGCUCAACGGAUAAAAGGUACUCUGGGGAUAACAGGCUGAUACCGCCCAAGAGUUCAUAUCGACGGCGGUGUUUGGCACCUCGAUGUCGGCUCAUCUCAUCCUGGGGCUGUAGCCGGUCCCAAGGGUAUGGCUGUUCGCCAUUUAAAGAGGUACGUGAGCUGGGUUUAAAACGUCGUGAGACAGUUUGGUCCCUAUCUGCCGUGGGCGUUGGAUAUUUGAAGGGGGCUGCUCCUAGUACGAGAGGACCGGAGUGGACGAACCUCUGGUGUACCGGUUGUGACGCCAGUCGCAUCGCCGGGUAGCUAUGUUCGGAAGAGAUAACCGCUGAAAGCAUCUAAGCGGGAAACUCGCCUUAAGAUGAGAUAUCCCUGGAGGCUUGACCUCCUUGAAGGGUCGUUCGAGACCAGGACGUUGAUAGGUCGGGUGUGUAAGCGCAGUAAUGCGUUCAGCUAACCGAUACUAAUUGCCCGUAAGGCUUGAUCCUAUAACA
rnacentral:rRNA from 1 species